rnacentral:rRNA from 1 species
AAUAAUUUAUUUGAUGGUCUCUUACUACAUGGAUAACUGUAGUAAUUCUAGAGCUAAUACAUGCGCAAAGUCCCGACUCUCGCGGGGAGGGAUGUAUUUAUUAGAUAAAAAACCAAUGCGGGCUCUGCCCGGUUUCGUGGUGAAUCAUAGUAACUUUUCGAAUCGCAUGGCUUCACGCCGGCGAUAGUUCAUUCAAAUUUCUGCCCUAUCAGCUUUCGACGGUAGUGUAGUGGACUACCGUGGCGUUAACGGGUAACGGAGAAUUAGGGUUCGAUUCCGGAGAGGGAGCCUGAGAAACGGCUACCACA